rnacentral:rRNA from 1 species
UACGGGGGGUGCGAGCGUUGUCCGGAAUCACUGGGCGUAAAGGGCGCGUAGGUGGCGUCGUAAGUUUGUGGUGAAAGCCCGGAGCUCAACUCCGGGUCUGCCGCGAAUACUGCGAGGCUUGAGUACUGUAGAGGGGGGUAGAAUAUCGGGUGUAGCGGUGGAAUGCGUAGAGAUCCGAUGAGAAGACGGUGGCGAAGGCGGCCCCCUGGGCCAGUAACUGACACUCGAGGCGCGACAGCGUGGGGAGCAACAGG